CUCUGAGAGACCACGGGGUGGCGACACAUCCGAGUCAUCCAGGCCUGCAAGCGCUCCAUCCUUAUCCUGAUGAAGUCCUCAUCAAACCUACCUGAGAGACCAGAUCAAACUCAGUGAUGCAGAAGACCACAUCCCUCCAUCUUCGUCAUGCCUGUACAGCUGCUCUAACUGCUCAUUAAAGAUUCAGAGAAACCUCCAUCUACAGUUUAUGUCCUGACUGACACCCAGUGAUUCAUCCUCCAGCUUUGACUCAUUCUGUUUAGUUCAAUUAAUGUCGAAUCUUUUUCAACCAUCUUCCACUGAAUGUAACUCCUAAAGCUGGAGAUGAGAAAUUUCUCAUUAUUUAUUUUUGAGAAUUAAACACCUAAAAUAAAAUGGUUUUUAACAUCUGAAUGUUGUUCAUGUGCUCCAUCCGCAGGGGGCGCUGCAGCGGCAGUCUGUCUUAGUUAGCCUGCAGACUCUGCAGCUCACCUGCGGCUGUCUCCAGGUGUCUCCAGGUUUCUCCAGGUGUGCUUGUCAAGCUGUUUGAAGGAUUUUUCUGUGUUUCCAGAUGUUUUAUUUUCCGUAUAAAUUCAUGUAAGAGUUUUAAUCAGCACAGUUUCAUAAAGAAUAGAGGAAACAUUUCUUAUUCUCUUUUCAAGCCCUUUUAAUGAUAUAGCUGGUUGCAGGUCAAUGAUGGAGUCAGUUACAGAAGCAGGACAUCUAGAAGUUUCUGGAACAUGUUCCUCAAACAUUUCAGUAGUUAAUGUGGAAGUAAGCAGGUGAACAGAUCAGAUCUGUAGUUUAAUUAUUGAUUAAUGUGAUCUGGUACAUCUUGGUCUUUUAUUAAUGACUGAAAGACCUCCAUCAGCUUCCUGUCCAUCCAUCAGUCUGAUCAAUUCGGACACCAGGGGGCGCUGAAGAUGCUGAUACUUGAUCCCAUCCUGCUGUUAGCUGAGAUUAGAUCCCACACUGGGUCAUCAAUAAGUCUGUUACACAAGCUGACUGCAUGGGGCGCUGCGGAGCCCUCAGUGGACACACCACCACAUGACCAGCACGGAGGCCAGCAGACCAAUCAGAGAGCUGGC